GAUGAACCCUAAAAAGUUCUUUAAACACAAAGGUUUGGUCCUGACCUUGGAGUCAACUUUUACUUAAUAUACACAUGCAAGUAUCCGCCUCCCUGUGAAAACGCCCUUAAACCCCCUCUAGGGACGAGGAGCCGGUAUCAGGNANAAAAUUUUUGCCNAAAANACCUAGCUAUGCCACACCCACAAGGGAAUUCAGCAGUGAUUAACAUUGAGCAUUAGCGCAAGCUUGACUCAGUCAAAGUAAAAAUAGAGCCGGCCAAUCUGGUGCCAGCCGCCGCGGUUACACCAUGUGGCUCAAAUUGACCCCCUUCGGCGUAAAGCGUGAUUAAAGUCAACAAACUCUAGAGUUAAACUAAAACUGAGCUGUGACAUGCCUGUUACAAGAAACCCAAAAACGAAAGUUACUCUAAUAUAACCUACUUGAAUUCACGACAGCCAGGAAACAAACUGGGAUUAGAUACCCCACUAUGCCCGACCGUAAACUUUUAUUUACACUUUAAAUCGCCAGGGAACUACGAGCUAAGCUUAAAACCCAAAGGACUUGACGGUACCCCAUAUCCCCCUAGAGGAGCCUGUCCUAUAAUCGAUAAUCCACGUUUAACCUCACCAUUUUUAGCCUAUCAGCCUGUAUANCUCCGUCGCCAGCUUACCACGUGAGCGCAAGUCAGUGAGCUUAAUGUUAUUUCACCAAUACGUCAGGUCAAGGUGCAGCAAAUGAAAUGGAAAGAGAUGGGCUACACUUUCUACUUUAGAAAAAACGAAAAACUACCUAUGAAACCUAGUUAGAAGGCGGAUUUAGCAGUAAAAUAAAAUCAGAAUAUUUAUUUUAACUCGGCACUGGGGUGUGUACACACNGCCCGUCACCCUCUUCAAAGUACAUAAACAGUCUUUAACAAACUCAAAUUUAACAGAAGAGGUAAGUCGU
rnacentral:ncRNA from 1 species